UAUGAUCUCACAAUCUCCCACUGAACUAGAUAUUAUAUGAUAUAUACCAUGUAAAUAACCUAUUUCUUGAUUGUGCACUUGAAUUCAAAAAUACUAUCUGUUUUACAAAACCCUGUCAAUUAAGAUUUACUAAGCUGAAUCAUAGAAGAGAAUGACAAAUUAGCAAGUUGCCAGUCUUUUAUAAUCACAUCAUAGUAAUCAAAAUUACAUGUAUUACCUCAAGUGUGAUCAUGCUUAUUAUGUAGUAAUCGACUUUCACAAGCAUUGGUGAUCUUGAUGGAGUUAUUCAAACUGCAUAUUUGCUGAUGUGAAAUCAGCAACGUCUGAAUGUAUAUACACGCUAAAUUAUGCAGUACUUUAUUUGAAUAAAACAAUUUCAUUCAAAAUUAUAUGAAUGAACUUGAUAAUGACUGAGAUGAUUAAUAACAAUGCAUUACUAAAUAGUUGCAAUACAUACUAGUAACUUAGUGAAAUACAUAACUAACCGUCAAUACUGCCUAAAACUCCCAUAUUUUCCACAUGUCUGAUGAAUGUUAUAUGAAGCAUCUGUAUAACAUUCCACUUUCAAUUCUUGAUCUUCAAUCCUUUUCUAUACCAGCAUGGUGAUCUCUGGUAGAUUUCAAAUAUCUCAAAACUUUCUUUCCAGCAACCCAAUGUUCAUGUCCAACAUUUGAUUUAUAUCUGGACAUCAUAUUGACAGCAAAACUUAUAUCUGGCCUAGUACAAACCUGUGCAUACAUGAGACUUCCAACUAAUCUAGCAUAAGGUACAUCCUCCAUGGUUUUUCUCUCUAGAACACUGUACAUACCUCCAUUAUUAUGGAGGAUUUACUACAUCACCAAACAUAAGUAACACCCUCUUUGUGGGCCCACAAGCCAUGGUGGGGCCCAACCACGACAUGCGUACUGUAGCCCGACAUACAACCUACCCCGUGGUAGUCGGAAGCGGCCAAGAUGUCGCCGGGAAUCAACCUUCCCGGCCUUGCCAAGUUACCUUCACAAACAUGAUUUCUAAGACUAGAAUAGUGGUUUUGCAUCCCACAUCUAAGAAAGUGUAAAGGUGUUGAGAGAAAAUUGCACACAGUGAGCGAAAAUGUCACCCAACAUAAUUUCACUCGUAUUCAUUUAGUGAAUAGAGUUUUUAUUAUUUUGGGUUCGACCCAUUCAAGACAGAAUGUGUCUCUUAAUUACAAUCCCUUGUUACAGGGAAACACCCUUUGAUUCCAUUUAUGAAGAAACCAAUUGAUGGGAUGUGUGUUUGUUUGUUUUUGCGGCUGCACCCGGAUAUUUGAAUGGGUUGCCUACGUACCCUUGGAGGGGGAUCAAGCCACUCGUAGUUCAAGAGUUUCAAUGAGUGAAUGACUCAUUGGAGGGCUUUGAUUUUGGAAUGAGAGUAGUGUUUGGGACGAAUUUGGUUGAAGUGGACCAGGGAUUCGGUUUUGUGUUUAGGACGCGGUUGCAUCUAGAUAAGUUUGGUUCUAGAUUGCCUACAUACCCUUUGCGGGAUCAAACCACAUGUAGUUUCGGCAUUUGAGAUUUAAAUGGGUAGAUGACCCAUUUAUUUUGGAUUUGUGUUUGGGAGAUUUGAAAGGUUUAGAGCCUUUGAAUUUUGUGUGAUUUUGGAAUGAUUUGAUUUUUUGGUGUUGGGAGAAUUUGACUGGAGUCAGUGAUUCAUUUGGGACUGGUCGAAUUUGACUGGUGGAGUCAGGGAUUCUGUUUGGAGUUGUGGUUGCAUCUAGUGGGUCGCUAGACUGCCUACAUACCCUGUGAAGGGAUCAAACCACUGUAGUUCAUAUCCAAUUUUACUCAACGGGUAUGUAUUUCGAACUCGUCGAGAGAACACAUUUUUUUGUGGACACCCGAUUUUAAUGGAGCGUCCGUUGAUUUGAUCUGGGGACCCAAUGUACUGAGGUUUGCAGCGGGCCUUGAAAUUUGGAAUGGCCUUUGGGCUGCAAAUUAAUCGGGCCCGAACUUCUGAGGUGAAUUGAUUUAGACACCCGUUGUGUUGAGCUUCUGAGGUUGGGCUCUGUGACUUGAGAUGGGCUUUGCAGAGCUCCAAAACUUGUAUACGAGUGAUUUGCAAUGCAUAAACUGAUUUGGACACCCAUUAAUACAGCCCUAUUGAGCCCAGCUCACGUCUUCAAGGUUCUUAUCCCAAAAGGAAGACGUCAUCUCCAUUCGAUAAGCUUCAGAUCCUCUGUGAGACCUCUUUGGCGUAAUCAUCAGAUAGAGAUCAAUUUCAAGAUGAGGAUUAACUAUUUUAAUUCGAUCUGGAGAGGGAGUCAUAUCGCUGAAGUCCAUAUAAAUGGGUUGGCUCAAGUGCCUAGAUUCCCCAUUCGUUCUCUUUCGCGCACCAAAUCAGAGGCCUUGAUUUCUUACCCCUGUUCGCGAAACGCAUCUGUCAGAGCUAUUGGUGUCGAAACCAGAACUGACACAAUUUUGAAGAAAAGCAUUGCAGGCGGUGUUCAAACCAUUGCAACAAACAUAAUUUUGAAGGAAGACGUUGCAGCUUGACCACAUCUUUUCUAGGAGUUAAUAAACAUUGCUGCCACUAUCUUGUGCCAAGUAACAGGAACCAGACGACUCCCAUCUCUCUUGUAUUUCGUGGCUGCAGUUUAGUGAUCGAGGGUGAGUCGAACCGAGCGCUUUGCAGGCUUGUGGCUGGAGGUAGGCACCCUUUUAUAGAGAGAUGGCCACUUCACUUUCAAGGCAGCAUUUUGAUGAUGACUUUGAUGCAAGUGGAUAACUUGGGGCUGAAACUCUACACGGGGAUCAUCUUGGAGCAGCUUCCCUACUGUUGUGAACUCGGGAACUUUGCAGAACCGUACUCGGUGUGAACUGGUAACCCCGAGGCGUUCACUUGACAUACUUAUUUUUGCCACCCAUAUGCAGGACGCACCGCGAUACAGGCAUCAAAAACAAGCAUGGUGAACCCCCUUGAUCUUGAAGCUUGCUUCCGCCACCUAUACGCAGGACGCACCGCAGUAUAGGCAUCGAAAGCAAGUGCAGCAUGGAGUGACACCACGGCUGUGAAUGAGGGCUUGAUGUCGACUUUGUGUCUUGCCCGGAAGCCGUUGGUGAGAUUUGUGAGGAUGACAGCAACGAGGGACUUUUGGAGAGAGGAUAGGCCAUCAGCUUCUUGUUUGGAGUGUUCAUAGUCUUACAUGAUCACCUAUUUAGCUUUCUGUAAUCAUAUAAUGUAGAACAAAGAGAACACUUGAGUGAAAAUGAUAAUUGACAGCAUAUAGAAGAAAUUAUACCCACUGCUCUAUGUUUGUAGCU